CUUAACUAUUUGCAAUGUCAAAUCCUUCUUAGGUUUACCCUUUGUAAAUAUAUUCUCAUGUCCUGCAAGAUUUUUGAAUUCUGUUGAUAGGUUUCCUUGCCUGCUUCUAAGCAGAUGUUUUCUUUUUUCCUGCAGAUGUUUUGACUGCAGUGCUUUAUAGUUUCAAAAUAUCCUUGCCUUCUUUUCCAGGCUAUCAAAAGAGGAUUACUCAAACAAUAAAAACCAUCUUCCUUUCAAUCAGUGAGGGUGAAACUUUUGAUCCCUUGCUAGACAAGGUCAACACCCACCCUCACCCUGAAGCGGCCAUGCAAGGCAGACUGGCAGCACCUCUGCUUCCCUUCCUUUCUCCUUCCUUCCCUCAUGCCAUCCCUCUCUUCCUUUCUUCCUUUUUCCCUUUCUUUCCUUCUUUCCUUUUUGUUUUUCUAAGACAAGGUCUCAAUAUGUAGUUAAGUGUUGCCUUGAACUCAUUACUUAGAGGACCAGGGAGAUUGUGAACUUGCAGCCAUCCUCCUGCCUCAGCCUCCUGAGUCCCAAGAUUAUAGGAGUGCUCCACCACAUCUACCUUCCUCUCUAUCUCUUAACAAUAAAGAAACUAACACUGGGGGGUGGGGCAUGAAGCAAAAUAGAACAAAUAAAGACAGGUCCUCCCAGAAAGGAGACAAAGACCACCAUAAUUUUACAAAUAAAAACAGCAACUUCAGGGCAUAGGCCAAGGAUUUUGUUGUUGUUUGUUUUGUCUUUUAAUACACAGUAAGCCUGAGCAAUUUUCUUUCAAAUGCAAAUAGCCAUUUAAAAUAUACUGAAAGUGUCCUGGUUUGUUUUAGGUCUUCGAAUUCCAGUUGACUCCUGAGGACAUGAAAGCCAUAGAUGCCCUGGACAGAAACUUGCGAUAUCUUCCUGCUAAGUUCACUGAGGGCCACCCUGAGUGUCCAUAUGUUGAUGAAUACUAACAGGGAUCACACUGUCCUGACUGCUGCUAGAAACUCCUUUCUGUGGAAAACGAUGCAGAAGACCUCUCAGGCGCUGCUGUUCCAACGCAUCCUCCUUUUCCAGCCAUGCUGAUUAGGAACUCUCACAGCUUCACUUGAGUCGACCUAUCCAGAAGAGAAAGGACCUAAAAAACAUCAGAUUUGAGAAAAAAAAAAAUUGAUUUACCUAAAAAUUCUUGCUUUGUGUUGUUUCCGUUAUUUGUCUGGUGUGUUUAUUUUGGUCUCAUUAUGGCUGAAAACAGACUUGGCUGGAGACCUGUGGGAAAAGCUAUUUCAGAGGGUGGGAAUGGUACCAGUGGCAGGCUCUGGUGGCAGAUAUGGAUCAGUCACUGUCACUCCAGCCCUGCAGUAAUGAGAAAAUGCACUGCAUUUAGUUCAUCAUCGUUAGUCUGGAAAGUGGAGCACGUUUGAGAAGGGUGAGCAAGGGCCCAUGGCGGGCCCUCUUGCAGCUCAACCAUCACAGCUCCUGGACAGGGGAAUCAGGUCUCAUGGUGGAGGUGGCAGGGUCCCGAG
rnacentral:lncRNA from 1 species